UACGUAGGUGCCAAGCGUUCUCCGGAUUUCUUGGGCGUAAAGCGCACGCAGGCGGCUGAUUAAGUCUGACGUGAAAUCUCCCGGCUUAACCGGGAGCGGUCGUUGGAAACUAAUUGGCUUGAGGCGAUGAGAGGGGUGUGGAAUUCCCGGUGUAGUGGUGGAAUGCGUAGAUAUCGGGAGGAACAUCAGUGGCGAAAGCGGCACCCUGGCAUUAGCCUGACGCUCAUGUGCGAAAGCGUGGGGAGCGAACGGG
rnacentral:rRNA from 1 species